rnacentral:misc_RNA from 1 species
CCGAGUGAGGGUCCUUUGGGCCCAACCUCCCACCCGUGUUUACUAUACCCUGUUGCUUCGGCGGGCCCUCCGGGGUCCGCCGGAGACCACAUGAACACUGUAUGAGAGCAUUGCAGUCUGAGUUGAUUGAUACCAAUCAGUUA